GUUGGGAGUUUAAGCUUCUCUGCUGUUUGGUCAGUGUGGUAAAUAAAUCAGGAACUUUAUAUAGUUUUCUCUGCCACUAAAAGAGACAAUUUCCCAACCAUCUUAUUAAUGAGUUCUGGGUAACAUAUAGCCCACCAGGAGGUUAAGUGGCCAGCCUAUCUCAUUGUACUCUCAUCAGGCCUGGAUGUCUGUCUGUCUGUCUGCUGAGGCCUUAGCCCGGAAGGUGCUGAUUUAAGAAGCAAUGAGUCUUAACUCCACCUCUGCUCUAUUUGAGUUGUUCAUUGACUUAGUCAAAAUAUGUUUAUUAUCUUCUGUAGUCCAGGAAUUAUGCUAAACGUAAGAGAUGGAGAUGCUUUAUGGAACGUUCACACUGAUAAACUUAAAGCCAUGUCUUCCUGAACAGUAAUGGAGUUAGAAAACAUAGUAGCCAGGCUUUUAUAUUACUGUGGACAAAUACCGGAAAGAAAUAUUUAAGAGAGUGAACUCUUAUUUUGGCCCACGGAAUAAAAAGGCUGAACCCAUAUAUUUGUGCCGAACAUCAGGGCAAAGGAGGCACUUUCUGGGGAUGUUCUUGAUAACUUGGUAGACAGCAGGCAGAGAAGGCAGAGGGCAGGAGGAGGCCAGAGUGAAGCCCAUCCCUCAGACCUUCCUCAGGGGCCUUCCUCCAGCUAGAUCCACCUCCAAGUAAUACCGGCAUUUUAUGAAUCUGUCAAGUGAUCAUCUACGUUAUUGAUGAGGUAAAAGCUCUCAUGAUCCUGAAAAGUCUUCACAAAUACACCCACAGAUGGGCUCUUUUUAAUUUCCCAGAUGUUUCUGAAUGUAUUCAAGUCACUCAUCACACACAAAAAGCUCUUUGCUCCAACCCACGCUGUCACAGGAAUAACUUCUGAGACUAUAGAUUGCAUUUGAAAAUGUAAAUGAAUGAUCCAAAGAUUGUGCCUUUGGAAACUGGCAUAUUAACAAAUAAUCAGAAAGGCUUCGGGUAUAAGCCUUAAAAUUACCCUC
rnacentral:lncRNA from 1 species